GCCUGGGUGGUUCAGUCGGUUGAGCUUCUGACUUUGGCCCAGGUCAUGGUCUCAUGGUUUGUGGGUUCGAGUCCCAUGUCAGGCU
rnacentral:tRNA from 1 species